rnacentral:rRNA from 1 species
UACGAAGGGGGCUAGCGUUGUUCGGAAUCACUGGGCGUAAAGCGCACGUAGGCGGCUUCUUAAGUCAGGGGUGAAAUCCUGGAGCUCAACUCCAGAACUGCCCUUGAUACUGAGGAGCUUGAGUCCGGGAGAGGUGAGUGGAACUGCGAGUGUAGAGGUGAAAUUCGUAGAUAUUCGCAAGAACACCAGUGGCGAAGGCGGCUCACUGGCCCGGUACUGACGCUGAGGUGCGAAAGCGUGGGGAGCAAACAGG